rnacentral:lncRNA from 1 species
GUAAAGCUCAUAGCUGCAAAUUUCAGGCAUGACUUUCUUUGAAGUCUUAUGUUUUAUCUGAGAAAUUCAUGUGAAUUAUACAUUGUAGUUAAUAAUAGAUGUGUGUUUGUUUUACUACAUAAAUAACGUUUUAAGUGUCUCGCCGGCAGGAACAAUACAUUGAUGCUCUGUUCUUUCAUGUUGCAUACUCCCAUCACAUCUUUGAUUAUCUCUGUUUGAGAAAUAUUGUUAAAUAAAAGAAAGCACAUUAUAAACUAUAAUGAGGAAUGAAAACUCAUAUGAUCAGAUUCAAAUAUCAAAUAUUAAAAGAAUAGCAGUGGUCUUAGCUCCAUGUAGUGAACCAAAGGAGGAAUAAAGGCAUUUUCUAAGAAGUGCAGCAAAACAGAACUCUGAAAACACAUAUGAUUCCUGGAAUUUACCUUUUGUUAAUACAGCAUGAUCUGUUCUUCAAACUGUGGUGAAGUACAUUUUUCAGUCUGACUGUCAGAGAGGUGGGAAGUUUAUUAUCAAGGAGAAAUAGGUAAAGAAGAAUGAAGCCAGUGGGAGAUACCAGGGUCUCUGUGUCCCCUCCCCCUAAUAUGCAUAAGCUUCUCAAACAUCAUUCUUUGAGAUGGUCCAGUGAUGCUUCCUCAAUCUUCUUUGACAAUAUAUGCAGCCUCAAAAAGCAUCACUUUCUCCAUCCACAUCACUGCUCUCUUUAGAAAUUCCAGUACCAUCUUUCUUUUUUUUCUUGUUUUUGAGAUGAAGUCUCACUCUGUCACCCAGGCUGGAGUGUAGUGGCCUGAUCUCAGCUCACUGCAGCCUCUGCCUUCAGGGUUCAAGUGAUUCUCCUGCUUCAGCUUCCCAAGUAGCUAAGAUUACAGGUGUUUGCCACUACGCCGGGCUGAUUUUUGUAUUUUUUGGUAGAGAUGUAGAGACAGGUUUCACCAUGUUGGCCAGGGUGGUCUUGAACUCCUGACCUCAAGUGAUCUGCCCACCUCGCCCUCCCAAAGCGCUGGGAUUACAGGUGUGAACCACUGUGCCCGGCCACAGCGCCAUCAUUUUUAAAUCAAUAAGACCAAUAUUCCCAAGGGCACCUCUAAAGAGGAUCUGGGUUCCCUGAAAAUUGUCUACAGUUUCUCAUUAAAAAUUCUGUACAUUCAAUAAACUAUUACUAUACAUAUCAAGAAACAGAAUUUAAAAACAAGACAAGAGAAACAUAUUCAUAGUUAACUCAGAUAUUAGAAUUAUGAGAUAUGGACUUUUAGAACACUCCUGGUGGUCUAGGGUGGAUGGAUAUGGGGUGAGGCUCCUCUGCUUUUGGUAAGGGGAGGGAAGAGUGGAAAGGACUGCAUCUGGUGGUUUGAAUGCCAGCUCAGCC